AAAGGGAGACCUAAUUCAGGUAGGAGACGAAAAAAAAGUAGUCGCUACCAAGAAUCAAUCCCAAAAGGUCGGAGCGAGGCGAAAUUGGCUUUCAAACUAGGUUCUGGGUUCAAACAAGACCUGAAUCAGGAACAAGGGCUAUUAGCUCAGGUGGUUAGAGCGCACCCCUGAUAAGGGUGAGGUCCCUGGUUCGAGUCCAGGAUGGCCCACCCGCACAGGUGGCAAAAACAAGAGAAGCGAGGAAUCAGCACCUUAUCUUACUUAUAUAGUAAGAGAGAAUGCUGGCUCUGAGUAAAGAGUCCAGAGGAACCUUGAAAACUGCAUAGAGCUAGGUGAAAAAGCCAAAAAAGAAGACCGCAAG
rnacentral:tRNA from 1 species